rnacentral:lncRNA from 1 species
GUUAUUACCGUUAUUUCUGUUAUUUCUGUUAUUUCCGUUGUUGUUCAUGACCUGUCAGGUAAUUUUCUGCCGUAUGUUUCUGUCUCUGUGGAGGUUAUUUCCAUUAUUUCCGUUAUUUCCGUUAUUUCUUUUAUUUCCGUUAUUUCCGUUGUUGUUCUUGACCUGUCACCUAAUUUUCUGCCGUAUGUUUCUGUCUUUCGGAGUUUAUUUCUGUUAUUUCCGUUAUUUCCAUUAUUUCCGUUAUUUCCAUUAUUUCCGUUGUUGUUCUUGACCUGUCACCUAAUUUUCUGCCGUAUGUUUCAUUCUCUCUGGAGGUUCUUUCCGGUAUUUCCGUUCUUUCCGUUGUUGUUCUUGACUUGUCACCUAAUUUUCUGCCUUAUGUUUCUGUCUUUCGAAGGUUAUUUCCGUUAUUUCUGUUAUUUCCGUUAUUUCCGUUGUUGUUCUUGACAUGUCAGUUAAUUUUCUGCCGUAUGUUUCUGUCUCCGUGGAGGUUAUUUCCGUUAUUUCCGUUGUCGUUCUUGACCUGUCACCUAAUUUUCUGUCGUAUGUUUCUGCCUCUGUGAAGGUUAUUUCCGUAAUUUCUGUAAUUUCCGUAAUUUCCGUUGUUGUUUUUGGCCAGUCACGUAAUAUUCUGCCGUACGUUUCUGUCUCUCUGGAGGAUAUUUCCGUUACUAUUUCCGUUAUUUCCGUUAUUAUUUCCGUUAUUUCAUUUUUUUCUGUUAUUUCCGUUGUUGUUCUUGUCCUGCCACCUAAUUUUCUGCCGUAUGUUUCUGUCUCUGUGGAGGUUAUUUCCGUUAUUUCCGAUAUUUCCGUUAUUUCCGUUAUUUCCGUUACUUCCGUUAUUUCCGUUAUUUCCGUUAUUUCCAUUAUUUCCGUUGUUAUUUUUGACCUGUCACCUAAUUUUCUGCCGUAUGAUUCUGUCUCUGUGGAGGUUAUUUCCGUUAUUUCCGUUAUUUACACUAUUUCCACUAUUUCCUUUAUUUCCGUUAUUUACGUUGUUGAUCUUUUCCUGUCACGUAAUUUUCUGCCGUAUGUUUCUGUUUCUGUGGACGUUAUUUCCGUUAUUUCGUUUUUUUCCGUUAUUUCUGUUAUUUCCGCUAUUU